rnacentral:rRNA from 1 species
GUUUAACACAUGCAAGUCGAACGGAAACGAAAAUAGCUUGCUAUUUGGCGUCGAGUGGCGAACGGGUGAGUAACGCGUAGGAAUCUACCCAGUAGAGGGGGAUAGCCCGAAGAAAUUCGGAUUAAUACCGCAUAAUCUCUACGGAGUAAAGAAGGCCUCUUUACAAUGCUUUUACUAUUGGAUGAGCCUGCGUUAGAUUAGUUAGUUGGUAGGGUAAAAGCCUACCAAGGCGACGAUCUAUAGCUGGUUUUACGAGAAUGAUCAGCCACACUGGAACUGAGACACGGUCCAGACUCCUACGGGAGGCAGCAGUGAAGAAUAUUGGACAAUGGGGGAAACCCUGAUCCAGCAAUGUUGCGUGUGUGAAGAAGGUCCGAGGAUUGUAAAGCACUUUCAGUAAGCAAGAAAAAUGUAAAUCUAAUAGAUUUGCAUGUUGACCACUUAUAGAAGAAGCACCGGCUAACUCCGUGCCAGCAGCCGCGGUAAUACGGAGGGUGCGAGCGUUAAUCGGAAUUACUGGGCGUAAAGGGUAAGUAGGCGGUUUAUAAAGUCACAUGUGAAAGCCCUAGGCUUAACCUAGG